UACGUAGGGCGCAAGCGUUGUCCGGAAUUAUUGGGCGUAAAGAGCUCGUAGGCGGCUUGUCACGUCGGAUGUGAAAGCCCGGGGCUUAACUCCGGGUCUGCAUUCGAUACGGGCUAGCUAGAGUGUGGUAGGGGAGAUCGGAAUUCCUGGUGUAGCGGUGAAAUGCGCAGAUAUCAGGAGGAACACCGGUGGCGAAGGCGGUUCUCUGGGCCUUACCUGACGCUGAGGAGCGAAAGCGUGGGGAGCGAACAGG
rnacentral:rRNA from 1 species